CAUUACGGUCUGAGUCAUCAAAAAUCUGUGGAAGUGCUAUAGGCUGCAGCAUGAAGACCCUUUACGUCGUUAUCGCUUUAUACUUGUCAGCCAGUGUUUCUCAGGUGUACGGGAUAAAACAAAGACCAGGCAUCAUUAUAGAGAAGCCAGGAGCCACAGUCAAUCUGCACUGUGAGCAAAGCGGGAGUGAUAACAACAUGUACUGGUACAGACAGGCUCCACAGAAAGAGCUGCAGCUCCUCUUGUUCUCGUUUGCAGAUGGUUCUGUACAGAAAGGAGACGUCCCCUCUGACCGGAUAACUGCAAAGAGAGAGAACGUAAAAACCUUUCAUCUCCAGAUAAAAGAGCUGCAACCAGGAGAUUCCGCAACCUAUUACUGUGCUCGCAGUAGUGCACGGUAG